rnacentral:rRNA from 1 species
GACGAACCGUGCAAACGUUGUUCGGAAUCACUGGGCUUAAAGGGCGCGUAGGCGGGCGGUCAAGUCAGAGGUGAAAGCCCACGGCUCAACCGUGGAAGUGCCCCUGAUACUGGCCGUCUCGAGGGAGGUAGGGGCGUGCGGAACUUCCGGUGGAGCGGUGAAAUGCGUAGAUAUCGGAAGGAACACCGGUGGCGAAAGCGGCGCGCUGGACCUCUUCUGACGCUGAGGCGCGAAAGCCAGGGGAGCAAACGGG